rnacentral:lncRNA from 1 species
GGCUUUUUUGGACUAACAGCAAUUACUACUAUGUACCCCACUCCACCACCCCCACAAAAAUUCAUGAAUAUCAUGUAGGUCUCAGCAUUGGAUAUACCUCCAGAUUCGAGUAUCUCACUGAGAAUCAAAAGAUUUUACCUCGUGCCAAAAUAAUAUAUCCAUUAUAUUUUAUGAUAAAGGAACACAAAUAAGAAUUUGAAAUUUGAAUCUAUUAAAUGGAUCAACCUAUACUAAAAUGUCGGGAAAGCCAAAAAAAUACAUUCACGGUUAACUGUAUAACUAUGCCCAUACAAAGAUAUGUUUAGAGCAACAAAUU